rnacentral:lncRNA from 1 species
UCCAAGUCUAUAUUGACUAUUUGGCAACUUAUUAAGCUUGCAGCCAGCCUGGGCAACCCCUUUAUCUUCCUUGNAGAUCACUGCUGGGCCACUCUCCACACCCUACUUCUGCUGCUUCUGUUCUCNCACUGGCUUUGCCAUGACAACCCCUUUAGGGAUCGCGCUGCUGUUCGGAUCUCUCCCGCCACUGACGAAUCGCACAAUCGCACUUCNCAAAAAUAGUCACUGCUACCUUCAGGGGAUCCCAGAAAGGACAAUCGUGGAUUUCUCGUUCCAGGUGCUGGAGGGUGACUUUCGUGAUGUGGAAGUUGCGGUUAGCAGAUCCGAUUACCUAGAUUUCUACCAUGCAAAACAAACGCCUGCUGGAAAUGUUAGCGUUGCUUCUACAAAACGUGAGAACUACAGGUUUUGUUUCUUUAACUCCAAGCCCAGCGAUGUCAAGANAGUACAGUUUAUCGUUGAUGUUCGUGAAAUUCCAGUAGAGGAUGGUCCGAUAGAAGUGCAAAGAUUUGAAGAGAAAAUCUCCAGGUUAGAGGACGCCAUAUGCAAAAGCAAAACUGGCAAUAGGCCAUCUGAUCAGACACUGACUUGA